rnacentral:rRNA from 1 species
GUGGGGAAUCUUAGACAAUGGGCGCAAGCCUGAUCUAGCCAUGCCGCGUGAGCGAUGAAGGCCUUAGGGUUGUAAAGCUCUUUCAGGGGGGAAGAUAAUGACGGUACCCCCAGAAGAAGCCCCGGCUAACUCCGUGCCAGCAGCCGCGGUAAUACGGAGGGGGCUAGCGUUGUUCGGCAUUACUGGGCGUAAAGCGCACGUAGGCGGACCAGAAAGUCAGGGGUGAAAUCCCGGUGCUCAACCACGGAACUGCCUUUGAAACUCCUGGUCUUGAGGUCGAGGGAGGUGAGUGGAAUUCCGAGUGUAGAGGUGAAAUUCGUAGAUAUUCGGAGGAACACCAGUGGCGAAGGCGGCUCACUGGCUCGAUACUGACGCUGAGGUGCGAAAGCGUGGGGAGCAAACAGGAUUAGAUACCCCAGUAGUCC